rnacentral:lncRNA from 10 species
AAUAUGUUCCCGAGGCCAAAGUAAUCUGCUGUAGCAAAGAUACUACAUCUUACAUAAUGGCUGUAAUCGGGGCUAUAGUACUUGGUUGAACUCAUGGCAGUCUACAGUCACCUUCCAGGAUCAUCUGGUUUCUAUAAGGUCAAGAGUGGUGAAUUAAACAGAUACAUGAUAGAAACCACCAUCCCUGUAUCCUUUAUAUCCUAAGGAUGGAACUAAUUUCUGCUGUACCUACUCUCAACACUUUUCUUUGUUGUCCCCCAGGAGUAAACCAAUCCUGGUUAUGAACUCAGAGACUGGGAAAUGACCACUGAGUGGCUCCAAGGACCCAAUGGCUGUACUGUAAGCCAGGCCCAAGACAGGAUUUCACUUACAACCUGGCCCCAUGUGCUUCCUGCACUCUAACAAGGAGAGGUUAUGAUGGUGCUUCAGGCCUCGAGCAUCAUUGUCAUCACAGACCCUACAUCCAACAGACCCUGAUAUGUCUAGAUGAUCUUACUCUGUUGCCC